CUCAGUAACACGUGGAUAACCUACCCUUAGGACCGGAAUAACCCCGGGAAACUGGGGAUAAUACCGGAUAAGCCAUAGACGCUGGAAUGCCCUAUGGUUCAAAGCUCCGGCGCCUAAGGAUGGAUCUGCGGUCUAUCAGGUUGUAGUGGGUGUAACGUACCUACUAGCCGACGACGGAUACGGGUUGUGAGAGCAAGAGCCCGGAGAUGGAUUCUGAGACACGAAUCCAGGCCCUACGGGGUGCAGCAGGCGCGAACACUUUACAAUGCGGGAAACCGCGAUAAGGGAACCCCGAGUGCCAGCAUCAAAUGUUGGCUGUCCAGAUGAUUAAAAAUCAUUUGUUAGCAAGGGCCGGGCAAGACCGGUGCCAGCCGCCGCGGUAACACCGGCGGCCCGAGUGGUAGCCGUUUUUAUUGGGUCUAAAGGGUCCGUAGCCGGCCUGAUAAGUCCUUUGGGAAAUCUGGCAGCUUAACUGUCAGGCUUCUAAGGGAUACUGUCAGGCUUGGGACCGGAAGAGGUAAGGGGUACUCCAGGGGUAGGAGUGAAAUCUUGUAAUCCCUGGGGGACCAUCUGUGGCGAAGGCGCCUUACCAGAACGGGUCCGACGGUGAGGGACGAAAGCUAGGGGAGCAAACCGGAUUAGAUACCCGGGUAGUCCUAGCUGUAAACGAUGCUCGCUAGGUGUCAGACAGCGGUGCGACCGUGUUUGGUGCCGCAGGGAAGCCGCUGUCGACCACCUGGGAAGUACGGUCGCAAGCUGAAACUAAAG
rnacentral:rRNA from 1 species